AGCCAAUUAUACCGGUGAAACUGCGAAUGGCUCAUUAAAUCAGUUAUCGUUUAUUUGAUAGUACCUUACUACUUGGAUAACCGUGGUAAUUCUAGAGCUAAUACAUGCCUAAAACCCCGACUCGCGAAGGGGUGUAUUUAUUAGAUAGCAAGCCAACGCCCCUAGGGCUUCUUGGUGAUUCAUGAUAACUAAACGUACCGCAUGGCCUUGUGCCGGCGCAGGAUCAUUCAAAUACCUGCCCUAUCAAGUUUCGAUGUGAGGGUAGUGUCCUCACAUGCUUUUGACGGGUAACGGGGAAUUAGGGUUCGACUCCGGAGAGGGAGCCUGAGAAACGGCUACCACAUCCAAGGAAGGCAGCAGGCGCGCAAAUUACCCAAUCCCGACACGGGGAGGUAGUGACAAGAAAUACCGAUACAGGAUCCUUUUGGAUCUUGUAAUUGGAAUGAGUACAAUUUAAACCCAUUAACGAGGAACAAUUGGAGGGCAAGUUCUGGUGCCAGGCAGCCCAA
rnacentral:rRNA from 1 species